UUACGACUAUAUCAGGUUGAAACACCGGCUGUCGUACGAUCACCGAAGUUAAGCAACGUCGAGCUUGGUCAGUAUCUAUGUGGGUGACCGCUUGAGAAUACCAGAUGCU